rnacentral:rRNA from 1 species
GACGGAGGAUGCAAGCGUUAUCCGGAAUGAUUGGGCGUAAAGCGUCUGCAGGUGGCAGUUCAAGUCUGCUGUCAAAGACCGGGGCUUAACUUCGGAAAGGCAGUGGAAACUGAACAGCUAGAGUAUGGUAGGGGCAGAGGGAAUUCCUGGUGUAGCGGUGAAAUGCGUAGAGAUCAGGAAGAACAUCGGUGGCGAAGGCGCUCUGCUGGACCAUAACUGACACUCAGGGACGAAAGCUAGGGGAGCAAACGGG